UAAUAAAUUUUUUAUAACCGUGUAAAGUAUAUUGAGUUUAUAUCUUUUUCUUUUAUCAAACAUAAUUCCUCACCCAUCGUUCCCAGCAUCCUCGACACCCAAACCCUAAAUUUCAAAUUUUUUCUUCCUCAGACGCAACAAGGAAUACUGAAAGCUAUCGAACUAUCAAAGGGUCAAUCAUCAUGUCUUCGUCUCUCAUCUAUUGUAAAAGCAGGUCGAUUUCUUUUGCCAUCAAAGACCCAUAAGAAUUGACACACGAUUCUGGUCUGUCAAUAGAAGGGAAGAUUCAUUCAUCUUCAAUAAAAGGACACGGGAGUAUGCUUAAUAGCUUUUUAUCCUGAUGGUUAGGGGGUAAAUUUUAUUGGGAAAUUUUGAUUAUAUUUAGACUAAAGAUGUAUCAGAAUAAAGAAAAAGAUGUCAUUCUGCAAAGCUCAUGUAUUGCAAGUGUUUUCAUGGGAACCUAUUAUUUAUAAUGACACUGUUGAUAUGGGAUAGACAACUUGAUGAUAUUUGCAUUCACAUGGCAAACUUUUGCGGUGCUCGCACUAUCCAAACUCCACCGAAACUCUGUUGGAGUUUGAGCCACAGAUAUAUCGGUAAGACCCAUUAUUGUUUCGAUCAGUUCUCACUUUUAGUUUUUAACUUGAGCAUACUAACUGUCUACUAUAAUUAUAGAUUUAGAUUGCAUAUUCUGCACCCAUAUUAUUAAGUAGCGAAGAUUUGUUUUUAGAUGUGCAUAGUAUUUUGGUUCUUUGUUAGCCCAUAUUCUUAGUGGUAGUUUGUGUCAGCUUAAUGAGCCAUAUGGGAUGUCUUGGAUCUCAAUAAUGAUGAAAUCACAAAGAAUAGGCAUAUUUUUGGAUUAACUUAGGACUGACUUUUGGUUUUUUCAGCAUGUCUCAUAAUGAGUGGAAAGACAUAAAGAAUACAUAUAUUGACCGUGAUGAGUAUCUACUUGCAAUGAAGUAAUUACUCCUGUUAAAUAUGUCAUGGAGGUUUUCUACUUUUAAUAUAUGUAGUUUAGAAAUGUUUAGAGAAGAAUUUGACAAGUUUUUACGAUUUACAAUGGAAUGUAAUAUUACCUAUUUUGUUCCUUUCUACUUCUCACAAUUAGAUUUGUAUUUAACUUAACAAGAUUUAACGCUUAUAUUGAAGAGAGAAUUAUGGUAGUGAUGUUUUCUUCACUGCCCAUUCCAACCUUGAAUGUUAUAAUCUGUAGAAUUCACUUUCA